rnacentral:rRNA from 1 species
AGUGGACGCUGGCGGUAGGCCUAACACAUGCAAGUCGAACGGCAGCACAGUAAGAGCUUGCUCUUACGGGUGGCGAGUGGCGGACGGGUGAGGAAUACAUCGGAAUCUACUUUUUCGUGGGGGAUAACGUAGGGAAACUUACGCUAAUACCGCAUACGACCUACGGGUGAAAGCAGGGGAUCUUCGGACCUUGCGCGAUUGAAUGAGCCGAUGUCGGAUUAGCUAGUUGGCGGGGUAAAGGCCCACCAAGGCGACGAUCCGUAGCUGGUCUGAGAGGAUGAUCAGCCACACUGGAACUGAGACACGGUCCAGACUCCUACGGGAGGCAGCAGUGGGGAAUAUUGGACAGUGGGCGCAAGCCUGAUCCAGCCAUACCGCGUGGGUGAAGAAGGCCUUCGGGUUGUAAAGCCCUUUUGUUGGGAAAGAAAAGCAGCAGGUUAAUACCCCGCUGUUCUGACGGUACCCAAAGAAUAAGCACCGGCUAACUUCGUG